rnacentral:rRNA from 1 species
CCUACGGGAGGCAGCAGUAGGGAAUCUUCCACAAUGGGCGAAAGCCUGAUGGAGCAACGCCGCGUGGGUGAAGAAGGUCUUCGGAUCGGAAAACCCUGUUGUUAGAGAAGAAAGUGCGUGAGAGUAACUGUUCACGUUUCGACGGUAUCUAACCAGAAAGCCACGGCUAACUACGUGCCAGCAGCCGCGGUAAUACGUAGGUGGCAAGCGUUAUCCGGAUUUAUUGGGCGUAAAGGGAACGCAGGCGGUCUUUUAAGUCUGAUGUGAAAGCCUUCGGCUUAACCGGAGUAGUGCAUUGGAAACUGGGAGACUUGAGUGCAGAAGAGGAGAGUGGAACUACAUGUGUAGCGGUGAAAGGCGUAGAUAUAUGGAAGAACACCAGUGGCGAAAGCGGCUCUCUGGUCUGUAACUGACGCUGAGGUUCGAAAGCGUGGGUAGCAAACAGGAUUAGAUACCCCUGUAGUC